rnacentral:rRNA from 1 species
ACGCGAAGAACCUUACCUACUCUUGACAUCCAGAGAACUUAGCAGAGAUGCUUUGGUGCCUUCGGGAACUCUGAGACAGGUGCUGCAUGGCUGUCGUCAGCUCGUGUUGUGAAAUGUUGGGUUAAGUCCCGCAACGAGCGCAACCCUUAUCCUUUGUUGCCAGCGGUCCGGCCGGGAACUCAAAGGAGACUGCCAGUGAUAAACUGGAGGAAGGUGGGGAUGACGUCAAGUCAUCAUGGCCCUUACGAGUAGGGCUACACACGUGCUACAAUGGCGCAUACAAAGAGAAGCGACCUCGCGAGAGCAAGCGGACCUCAUAAAGUAUGUCGUAGUCCGGAUUGGAGUCUGCAACUCGACUCC